rnacentral:rRNA from 1 species
GAUGAACGCUGGCGGCGUGCCUAAUACAUGCAAGUCGAGCGAACGGACGAGAAGCUUGCUUCUCUGAUGUUAGCGGCGGACGGGUGAGUAACACGUGGAUAACCUACCUAUAAGACUGGGAUAACUUCGGGAAACCGGAGCUAAUACCGGAUAAUAUUUUGAACCGCAUGGUUCAAAAGUGAAAGACGGUCUUGCUGUCACUUAUAGAUGGAUCCGCGCUGCAUUAGCUAGUUGGUAAGGUAACGGCUUACCAAGGCAACGAUGCAUAGCCGACCUGAGAGGGUGAUCGGCCACACUGGAACUGAGACACGGUCCAGACUCCUACGGGAGGCUGCAGUAGGGAAUCUUCCGCAAUGGGCGAAAGCCUGACGGAGCAACGCCGCGUGAGUGAUGAAGGUCUUCGGAUCGUAAAACUCUGUUAUUAGGGAAGAACAUAUGUGUAAGUAACUGUGCACAUCUUGACGGUACCUAAUCAGAAAGCCACGGCUAACUACGUGCCAGCAGCCGCGGUAAUACGUAGGUGGCAAGCGUUAUCCGGAAUUAUUGGGCGUAAAGCGCGCGUAGGCGGUUUUUUAAGUCUGAUGUGAAAGCCCACGGCUCAACCGUGGAGGGUCAUUGGAAACUGGAAAACUUGAGUGCAGAAGAGGAAAGUGGAAUUCCAUGUGUAGCGGUGAAAUGCGCAGAGAUAUGGAGGAACACCAGUGGCGAAGGCGACUUUCUGGUCUGUAACUGACGCUGAUGUGCGAAAGCGUGGGGAUCAAACAGGAUUAGGUACCCUGGUAGUCCACGCCGUAAACGAUGAGUGCUAAGUGUUAGGGGGUUUCCGCCCCUUAGUGCUGCAGCUAACGCAUUAAGCACUCCGCCUGGGGAGUACGACCGCAAGGUUGAAACUCAAAGGAAUUGACGGGGACCCGCACAAGCGGUGGAGCAUGUGGUUUAAUUCGAAGCAACGCGAAGAACCUUACCAAAUCUUGACAUCCUUUGACAACUCUAGAGAUAGAGCUUUCCCCUUCGGGGGACAAAGUGACAGGUGGUGCAUGGUUGUCGUCAGCUCGUGUCGUGAGAUGUUGGGUUAAGUCCCGCAACGAGCGCAACCCUUAAGCUUAGUUGCCAUCAUUAAGUUGGGCACUCUAAGUUGACUGCCGGUGACAAACCGGAGGAAGGUGGGGAUGACGUCAAAUCAUCAUGCCCCUUAUGAUUUGGGCUACACACGUGCUACAAUGGACAAUACAAAGGGCAGCGAAACCGCGAGGUCAAGCAAAUCCCAUAAAGUUGUUCUCAGUUCGGAUUGUAGUCUGCAACUCGACUAUAUGAAGCUGGAAUCGCUAGUAAUCGUAGAUCAGCAUGCUACGGUGAAUACGUUCCCGGGUCU